rnacentral:rRNA from 1 species
CCUACGGGAGGCAGCAGUGGGGAAUAUUGGACAAUGGGGGGAACCCUGAUCCAGCGACGCCGCGUGAGUGAAGAAGUAUUUCUGUAUGUAAAGCUCUAUCAGCAGGGAAGAAAGACAUGACGGUACCUGACUACGAAGCCCCGGCUAACUACGUGCCAGCAGCCGCUGUAAUACGUAGGGGGCAAGCGUUAUCCGGAUUUACUGGGUGUAAAGGGAGCGUAGACGGCGAUGCAAGUCUGAAGUGAAAGGCGGGGGCCCAACCCCCGGACUGCUUUGGAAACUGUAUGGCUGGAGUGCAGGAGAGGUAAGUGGAAUGCCUAGUGUAGCGGUGAAAUGCGUAGAUAUUAGGAGGAACACCAGUGGCGAAGGCGGCUUACUGGACUGUAACUGACGUUGAGGCUCGAAAGCGUGGGGAGCAAACAGGAUUAGAUACCCUAGUAGUC